rnacentral:rRNA from 1 species
AGCGAACGCUGGCGGCAGGCCUAACACAUGCAAGUCGAACGAACCCUUCGGGGUUAGUGGCGGACGGGUGAGUAACACGUGGGAACGUGCCUUUAGGUUCGGAAUAACUCAGGGAAACUUGUGCUAAUACCGAAUGUGCCCUUCGGGGGACAGAUUUAUCGCCUUUAGAGCGGCCCGCGUCUGAUUAGCUAGUUGGUGAGGUAAUGGCUCACCAAGGCUACGAUCAGUAGCUGGUCUGAGAGGAUGACCAGCCACAUUGGGACUGAGACACGGCCCAAACUCCUUCGGCAGGCAGCAGUGGGGAAUCUUGCGUAAUGGGCGAAAGCCGGAAGCAGCCCUGCCGCGUGGAUGAUGAAGGUCUUAGGAUGGUAAAAUCCUUUCACCGGUGAAGAUAAUGACUGUAGCCGGAGAAGAAGCCCCGGCUAACUUCGUGCCAGCCGCCGCGGUAAAAC